ACAGCCACCCUGAACCUGCCCCAUCUCAUCUAAUCACACAAGCUAAGCAGGGUUGGGCCUGGUUAGUGCUUGGAUGGGGACCGCCUGGGAGUACCCGGUGCUGUC
rnacentral:rRNA from 1 species